rnacentral:tRNA from 1 species
GUGUUCGUAACUUAAUUGGAUAGAGUAUCGGAUUUCGAAUCCGAAGGUUACAGGUUCGAGUCCUGUCGAGCAUA